CCUACGGGAGGCAGCAGUGGGGAAUUUUGGACAAUGGGCGCAAGCCUGAUCCAGCCAUGCCGCGUGAGUGAAGAAGGCCUUCGGGUUGUAAAGCUCUUUCAGACGGAAAGAAAUCUCUCAGGAUAAUACCUUGGGAGGAUGACGGUACCGUAAGAAGAAGCACCGGCUAACUACGUGCCAGCAGCCGCGGUAAUA
rnacentral:rRNA from 1 species